rnacentral:rRNA from 1 species
AGAGUUUGAGUCCUGGCGUCAGGACGAACGCUGGCGGCGUGCUUAACACAUGCAAGUCGAACGGGGCUGAUUAGCUUGCUAGAAAGCCCAGUGGCAAACGGGUGAGUAACGCGUAGGCAACCUGCCGCGGAGAUGGGGACAACACCCCGAAAGGGGUGCUAAUACCGAAUGAAGUACGAGGGACGCAUGUCCCCGUGUACCCAAAGGGCGAAAAGCCCGCUCCGCGAUGGGCCUGCGUCCGAUUAGCUGGUUGCGGGGCAGCGGCCCACCAAGGCGACGAUCGGUAGCCGGUCUGAGAGGAUGAACGGCCACAUUGGGACUGAGACACGGCCCAGACUCCUACGGGAGGCAGCAGUGGGGAAUCUUCCGCAAUGGGCGAAAGCCUGACGGAGCAACGCCGCGUGAGUGAAGAAGGCCUUCGGGCCGUAAAGCUCUGUUGCCGGGGACGAGUGCCCGGGUUGGAAGCCCGGGAGGGACGGUACCUGGCGAGGAAGCCGCGGCUAACUACGUGCC